AGAGCGAACGCUGGCGGCAGGCCUAACACAUGCAAGUCGAACGAGCCUUCGGGCGAGUGGCGGACGGGUGAGUAACACGUGGGAACGUACCUUUAGGUUCGGAACAACACAGGGAAACUUGUGCUAAUACCGGAUGUGCCCCCUCCUUUGACUAGGGGGGCGGGAAAGAUUUAUCGCCUUUAGAGCGGCCCGCGUUAGAUUAGCUAGUUGGUGGGGUAAUGGCCCACCAAGGCUGCGAUCUAUAGCUGGUCUGAGAGGAUGAUCAGCCACACUGGGACUGAGACACGGCCCAGACUCCUACGGGAGGCAGCAGUGGGAAUCUUGCGCAAUGGGCGAAAGCCUGACGCAGCCAUGCCGCGUGAAUGAUGAAGGUCUUAGGAUUGUAAAAUUCUUUAGCAGGGACGAUAAUGACGGUACCUGCAGAAAAGCCCCGGCUAACUUCGCGCCAGCAGCCGC
rnacentral:rRNA from 1 species